AACGAACGCUGGCGGCAUGCCUAACACAUGCAAGUCGAACGAGAUCUUCGGGUCUAGUGGCGCACGGGUGCGUAACGCGUGGGAAUCUGCCCUUUGAUUCGGAAUAACAGUUGGAAACGACUGCUAAUACCGGAUGAUGACGAAAGUCCAAAGAUUUAUCGCCAGAGGAUGAGCCCGCGUAGGAUUAGCUAGUUGGUGUGGUAGAGGCGCACCAAGGCGACGAUCCUUAGCUGGUCUGAGAGGAUGAUCAGCCACACUGGGACUGAGACACGGCCCAGACUCCUACGGGAGGCAGCAGUGGGGAAUAUUGGACAAUGGGCGAAAGCCUGAUCCAGCAAUGCCGCGUGAGUGAUGAAGGCCUUAGGGUUGUAAAGCUCUUUUACCCGGGAUGAUAAUGACAGUACCGGGAGAAUAAGCUCCGGCUAACUCCGUGCCAGCCGCCGCAGUAAUAC
rnacentral:rRNA from 1 species